AAACAAUUGCCAGACACUUUGAAAUAUGCUUAUCUUGAUGAAAAGAAAAUAUAUCAUGUUAUUAUCAGUGCUAACCUUUCAGAACAUGAAGAAGAAAGAUUAUUGAAAGUUCUAAGGAAGCACCGAGCUGCUAUUGGAUAUACUCUUGAUGAUUUAAAGGGCAUUAGUCCCACUCUAUGUCAGCACAAAAUUAAUAUGGAACCUGAUGCUAAACCAGUUGUUGAUCACCAACGUUGGUUAAAUCCGAAGAUGGAAGAGGUGGUAAGAACGGAAAUACUAAAACUUCUGGAAGCAGGUAUAAUCUAUCCCAUAGCUGAUAGUAGAUGGGUAAGUCAUGUUCAUUGUGUCCCUAAGUAA
rnacentral:rRNA from 1 species